UACGAAGGGGGCUAGCGUUGCUCGGAAUCACUGGGCAUAAAGCGCACGUAGGCGGUCUGUUAAGUCAGGUGUGAAAGCCCCCGGCUCAACCGGGGAACAGCAUUUGAUACUGGCAGACUCGAGGAUGGUAGGGGUGAGUGGAACUCCAGGUGGAGCGGUGAAAUGCGUAGAUAUCUGGAGGAACACCGGUGGCGAAAGCGGCUCACUGGACCAUAACUGACGCUGAGGUGCGAAAGCUAGGGUAGCAAACGGG
rnacentral:rRNA from 1 species